rnacentral:rRNA from 1 species
UACGGGGGGGGCAAGCGUUGUUCGGAAUUACUGGGCGUAAAGGGCUCGUAGGCGGCCAACUAAGUCAGACGUGAAAUCCCUCGGCUUAACCGGGGAACUGCGUCUGAUACUGGAUGGCUUGAGUUUGGGAGAGGGAUGCGGAAUUCCAGGUGUAGCGGUGAAAUGCGUAGAUACCUGGAGGAACACCGGUGGCGAAGGCGGCAUCCUGGACCAACACUGACGCUGAGUGAGCGAAAGCCAGGGGAGCAAACGGG